rnacentral:rRNA from 1 species
GUGCCAGCCGCCGCGGUAAUACGUAGGUGGCAAGCGUUGUCCGGAAUUAUUGGGCGUAAGGCGCGCGCAGGUGGUUCUUUAAGUCUGAUGUGAAAGCCCCCGGCUCAACCGGGGAGGGUCAUUGGAAACUGGGGAACUUGAGUGCAGAAGAGGAUAGUGGAAUUCCAAGUGUAGCGGUGAAAUGCGUAGAGAUUUGGAGGAACACCAGUGGCGAAGGCGACUGUCUGGUCUGUAACUGACACUGAGGCGAGAAAGCGUGGGGAGCAAACAGGAUUAGAUACCCCCGUAGUCC